GCACGGGUUCCCAUGGAUGGCAGGCCCGUCCCCCUGGGUCUCUCAUAUGCCCCGUGCCAGAGCAAACUGCAGCCUCGAACCAUUGCCCGGCCUCUGCCCGUGGGCUGCAGGCACUGAAGCGGUUGCAAAGGG